rnacentral:rRNA from 1 species
UACGAAGGGUGCAAGCGUUACUCGGAAUUACUGGGCGUAAAGCGUGCGUAGGCGGUUCGUUAAGUCCGUUGUGAAAGCCCUGGGCUCAACCUGGGAAUGGCAGUGGAUACUGGCGAGCUAGAGUGUGAUAGAGGAUGGUGGAAUUCCCGGUGUAGCGGUGAAAUGCGUAGAGAUCGGGAGGAACACCAGUGGCGAAGGCGGCCAUCUGGAUCAACACUGACGCUGAGGCACGAAAGCGUGGGGAGCAAGCAGG